rnacentral:tRNA from 1 species
GCAGGGAUGGAGCAAUGGUAAGGCUCGGCAGUCUCAUAAUCUGCAAAUCAGCAAGUUCAAAUCUUGCCCCUGCC